UGGGGAAUUUUGCACAAUGGGGGAAACCCUGAUGCAGCGACGCCGCGUGAUUUAGAAGGCCUUCGGGUUGUAAAAAUCUUUUCUAUGGGAAUAAAAUGACAGUACCAUAGGAAUAAGGACCGGCUAAUUACGUGCCAGCAGCCGCGGUAAUACGUAAGGUCCGAGCGUUGUCCGGAAUCAUUGGGCGUAAAGGGUACGUAGGCGGGUAAGCAAGUUAGAAGUGAAAUCCUAUAGCUCAACUAUAGUAAGCUUUUAAAACUGCUCAUCUUGAGGUAUGGAAGGGAAAGUGGAAUUCUUAGUGUAGCGGUGAAAUGAGCAGAUAUUAGGAGGAAUACCGGUGGCGAAGGCGACUUGCUGGCCAUAACCUGACGCUGAGGUACGAAAGCGUGGGUAGCAAACAGA
rnacentral:rRNA from 1 species